ACAUCCAGAGAAUUUAGCAGAGAUGCUUUAGUGCCUUCGGGAACUCUGAGACAGGUGCUGCAUGGCUGUCGUCAGCUCGUGUUGUGAAAUGUCGGGUUAAGUCCCGNAACGAGCGCAACCCUUAUCCUUUGUUGCCAGCACGUAAUGGUGGGAACUCAAAGGAGACUGCCGGUGAUAAACCGGAGGAAGGUGGGGAUGACGUCAAGUCAUCAUGGCCCUUACGAGUAGGGCUACACACGUGCUACAAUGGCGCAUACAAAGAGAAGCGACCUCGCGAGAGCAAGCGGACCUCAUAAAGUGCGUCGUAGUCCGGAUUGGAGUCUGCAACUCGACUCCAUGAAGUCGGAAUCGCUAGUAAUCGUAAAUCAGAAUGUUACGGUGAAUACGUUCCCGGGCCUUGUACACACCGCCCGUCACACCAUGGGAGUGGGUUGCAAAAGAAGUAGAUAGCUUAACCUUCGGGAGGGCGUUUACCACUUUGUGAUUCAUGACUGGGGUGAAGUCGUAACAAGGUAAGCGUAGUGCU
rnacentral:rRNA from 1 species